rnacentral:rRNA from 1 species
GAUGAACGCUGGCGGCGUGCCUAAUACAUGCAAGUCGAGCGAAUGGAUUAAGAGCUUGCUCUUAUGAAGUUAGCGGCGGACGGGUGAGUAACACGUGGGUAACCUGCCCAUAAGACUGGGAUAACUCCGGGAAACCGGGGCUAAUACCGGAUAACAUUUUGAACCGCAUGGUUCGAAAUUGAAAGGCGGCUUCGGCUGUCACUUAUGGAUGGACCCGCGUCGCAUUAGCUAGUUGGUGAGGUAACGGCUCACCAAGGCAACGAUGCGUAGCCGACCUGGGAGGGUGAUCGGCCACAAUGGGACUGGGACACGGCCCCGAACCCUACGGGGGGCAGCAGUGGGGAAUCUUCCGCAAUGGACGAAAGUCUGACGGGGCAACGCCGCGUGAGUGAUGAAGGCUUUCGGGUCGUAAAACUCUGUUGUUAGGGAAGAACAAGUGCUAGUUGAAUAAGCUGGCACCUUGACGGUACCUAACCAGAAAGCCACGGCUAACUACGUGCCAGCAGCCGCCGUAA